rnacentral:rRNA from 1 species
GACUGCAGGCUGCAACUCGCCUGCACGAAGUCGGAAUUGCUAGUAAUCGUAGGUCAGCAUACUACGGUGAAUACGUUCCCGGGCCUUGUACACACCGCCCGUCAAACCAUGAGAGUUGGCAACACCCGAAGUCGGUAGUCUAACCGCAAGGAGGACGCCGCCGAAGGUGGGGUUGAUGAUUAGGGUUAAGUCGUAACAAGGUAAC